rnacentral:lncRNA from 1 species
UGAAAAUAAAAAAAAUAACUUUAAUUUUUAAACAUGGGUAUAAAUAUAUUAGCCAUCGACAAUAAAUUGCUUAUUCUUGUUACCAGAGUUAAACACAAGACAGAUAAACUAUUUGAUACUGCAUAUUCAUGAUAUAUUUGUUGCCAUGUUCUCGUAAGCAAUGUAUGACCCAUCGGUUUGGUUUUGCCUGUAAAUAACCAGCCCAAUCGCAGGCAUUCAAUUUGCACUCUGCCAACUUUUUACGUCGAUCUUCCAAAUUAGAAGGGGAAACAAAAUUCCGAUAAACCAACGCUGAACAAAUACAGGUUUGUACACUUUAAGCUAUUAAUAUAAUAUUAAUAUGACUUGAAAUGUAUAUAUUUUACAUAUAACAAUAAAAUACAAUAUAUAUAGUUUGUGAGAAAGCUAUCGUUCAGUAUAUUGCAUCACUGAUGGCUCGUUAACGUAUUGACUAUUAUAUGACUGUGAAAAUAGUCAGCCGAGGAUUGAUUGAUACAUAUACUUGAAACAAUCUUUAUCAAAUCUCUCAAAAUAAACUAUAUAAUAUAUAAAUUUCUUAAUAUAUAAUUAGGCCUAUCUAUAACUGACAUUUUUUAAAAAUACUCCAUGUAGGGCAUGCAUGAUUGGCUGUAGUAGACCUUGUCCAAAUUUCAUUGCUAACAUGCUUUACAAAAACUCGAGCAGAAACUAGUCAACUGGUUGAUUUCCAUUAAUGUUGUCAUUAUGACAUGAAUUCAAUAUAAAUAUAUACAUGCUAGCUGUGUCACAGUGGGCGAUAAACGAUUACGCAAAUUAUUUCAAACCUUCCAAAAAUUCUGAGACCCUAUAAUUAUAACAAUGCAUGGUCAAUGCACUAAUCUUACAAAUUUGUUAUCAUAUAUAUGGCACGUAGAACUGAUAUAUAUAUAUACACUGCAGAUGAAAUGGUCAUGCAGCCUAAGACUGAGAUUUUCACUAUAUUCUUUAAAGCCCUUUUUGUCUUGGGCAGUUGGGCCUCAAAAUAAUUAUUAUCAAAGUGUAAGUUUAUAUCAGAAUUAUACAAAUAUAUAUAUUGUCCAUAUUUAUUAAUUACAUGUUGCAUAUAUCUGGUGCAUGUGUAAACAUAUCAAUGUAUAGAUAUUAGUUUGAAAAUACACAUAUAAAAUCCUCUAUUUACUAUAUGUUCAGGCUGCUAUUUUUUACAUGAAUUAGAAAAAGUUAAUCACAAGAUGAAUGCAUGUCUUGUACAAACAUAUACUGUGAGAUCCUGCACUCUGUAUAAUUAUUAAUUAUACAUGCCAAAAGCAGUUUACUAAAUUCUACAUUUGCUCUGUGAGGGAGAGUUUGAACUAAAUCGUCCCUUUCUUAAGGCAAAUUAUAAAUCUUGAUCUAGACUAGCAAUAGAACCUCAAAAUUGCAUGCAUGCAGGCCAACAACAAGUUGAAGUCACCUUGCAUAUAGGCAUAGCACUUUAAAAUUCAAUUGUUAUUAUAUUAAUUAUAUAUCCACAAAAAGUUACCUAGAACUGUGAAGCCAUGAAGGUAAAUCUGUAUAACAUUAAUGUACACUUGCAUGCAUUAAUCAAUCCUUGAUCAAUUUGCAAGAGAAUUGAAACUGCAUGCUUGUUUGUUUGUUUGUUAGGCCUAUGGCUAUGAUUAAAUAUUUGAUCAACAGUCAAUACACAGAAAUAGGCUAGCUAUUGUUUAAGACAUGCCAAACCGCCCAAACGUGCUACAUGAUACUACAUGCAUGCACUUCUCUACAUUUGAAGAAGAGCACAUUUAAGUUAUAGUAUUAGUAAAAUACAAACUAAAAAUUCAUUGUUCUCAUUAUAAUAAAUUUGAAAAUACAAACAUGAUUGUAGCUAUAUCAAUGAUUGUUUCACAAUUAAAUUAACAAGCUGCGCCGCUAGAGAAAUUGCCCGAGUAUUUAAACCUAUAUAACUCUAGUGAGCAAUAUGCUGGUGAAAUAUGUUUCCCCUACCUAUAUGUACAGUGGUUCAAAUGUACUGUAAUUCUGAACAAGUCUUGCCUUGUUGAAAAGGUCAUUGAGUCCCAUUUGUUUUCAUACAUAGUAUGAUUCCUUCGCGAAAUAUAUAGUAAUCAGUCGUAAUUCCUCCCCUCAACCGUACGUACUAUUGCAGUAUGGAAGCAUUCGAUUUUCCGCCCUUAUUGUCCUUUGCCGCAUUAUUGGGUUCAACAAACACAUCAGUAUAUGCAACUACGCCGAUAAUACGUUUGAACUAUUUUCUUGUAUACAUAUAUACUUUUUUCCUGAGUUUUUAACUCGUGUCCUUAUUCACUUGUCAGUGUGGAAGUAUCCUCUUGUGACGUGCGUUCUUCGUUGUUAUAAUCCAUCCACAGUGCAAACAAAAAUUCGCACGCAAACUAUCAAAUGUAUCCACAAUAAAAAUCGUUGGCCGGGAAUUUGAAUGUUGUCUUCGACUGUCUACCCUGAUGCUCUCAGUGUUCUCAUACAGCGGUUUGACAAGGAUCGUUCAUUUUACAUCGAAUUCUUGAUCGGAGUAUACAUAUAAUUUCCAACAAGAAACGUGGCUUACAUUAAUAUCUUUAAUACCACAAAACGUAUAAAUAUAUAGUUAUAGAACUUAUAGAACAAAUAGUACAAAAUUUCUUAACUUGAAGACACUUAUAACCCCAAA